rnacentral:rRNA from 1 species
GACGAACGCUGGCGGCGUGCUUAACACAUGCAAGUCGAACGGAAAGGCCCUGCUUUUGGGGGGUGCUCGAGUGGCGAACGGGUGAGUAACACGUGAGUAACCUGCCCUUGACUUUGGGAUAACUUCAUGCAACUGGGGCUAAUACCGGCUAGGAGCUCCUGCUGCAUGGUGGGGGUUGGAAAGUUUCGGCGGUUGGGGAUGGACUCGCGGCUUAUCAGCUUGUUGGUGGGGUAGUGGCUUACCAAGGCUUUGACGGGUAGCCGGGCUGAGAGGGUGACCGGCCACAUUGGGACUGGGAUGCGGCCCAGACUCCACCGGGAGGCAGGAGUGGGGAAUAGUGCACAAUGGGCGGAGGCCUGAUGCAGCACCGCCGCGUGCGGGAUGACGGCCUUCGGGUUGUAAACCGAUUUCGCCUGUGACGAAGCGUGAGUGACGGUAAUGGGUAAAGAAGCACCGGCUAACUACGUG